GAAUCUUCAAAAGUCGGCUCUGUGGAUUGUGCUGGUGGAGACACAUGUGCACGUCCGCAAGGUCGCAAACCCCACACACCUGUGCAUCUAUGACUCUGAGUGCCGCUUUGCAUGGCCUUGACCGGCCUGGCGCUCGAGUACUUUCACACACUCUUGAAUGUAACGGAAUGUCUUGUUGUGCAUAACGUACAAACAGAAACAACUUUCAACAACGGAUCUCUUGGCUCUCGCAUCGAUGAAGAACGCAGCGAAAUGCGAUAAGUAAUGUGAAUUGCAGAAUUCAGUGAAUCAUCGAAUCUUUGAACGCACCUUGCACCCUUUGGUAUUCCGAAGGGUACGCCCGUUUGAGUGUCAUUGUAAUCUCACCACCAUUGACUUUGGUCUUUUGGUAUGUGGACUUGGAUGUUGCCGUCGAUGUCUACGGCUCGUCUGAAAUGCUUCAGUGUACCCCGCUUUGCGGCGUAUUCGGUGUGAUACAUCUUCACCGGAGUUGAUCCUUUUGGGGGUCGCGUCUGUAAUGUGUGGCUCUAUGCUUCCAACCGUCUCUCGAGACGAUCUCUGACAAUUUG
rnacentral:sRNA from 1 species